CCUCUCAUGGCGUAGUGGUAACGCGCCCCAACUAUAGAUCGGGGAGUCGUGAGUUCGAUUCUCACUGAGAAGA
rfam:Aedes aegypti strain Liverpool supercont1.14 genomic scaffold, whole genome shotgun sequence.